rnacentral:sRNA from 1 species
AUUCUGCCCAAGCGGGUAAGGAUGAGAAGCUUCGACCAAGGUUCGACUUGAGCGCCAGCGAGAGAGCGUUGCCGCAGGCAACGACCCGAAGGGCGAAGCGCGCAGCGCUGAGUAAUCCUUCCCCCACCACCA